GUGAACGCUGGCGGUAGGCCUAACACAUGCCAGUCGAACGGCAGCACAGUAAGAGCUUGCUCUUACGGGUGGCGAGUGGCGGACGGGUGAGGAAUACAUCGGAAUCUACUUUUUCGUGGGGGAUAACGUAGGGAAACUUACGCUAAUACCGCAUACGACCUACGGGUGAAAGCAGGGGAUCUUCGGACCUUGCGCGAUUGAAUGAGCCGAUGUCGGAUUAGCUAGUUGGCGGGGUAAAGGCCCACCAAGGCGACGAUCCGUAGCUGGUCUGAGAGGAUGAUCAGCCGCACUGGAACUGAGACACGGUCCAGACUCCUACGGGAGGCAGCAGUGGGGAAUAUUGGACAAUGGGCGCAAGCCUGAUCCAGCCAUACCGCGUGGGUGAAGAAGGCCUUCGGGUUGUAAAGCCCUUUUGUUGGGAAAGAAAAGCAGCAGGUUAAUACCCCGCUGUUCUGACGGUACCCAAAGAAUAAGCACCGGCUAACUUCGU
rnacentral:rRNA from 1 species